CGGGGUAUGGCGCAGUUGGUAGCGCGCUUGACUGGGGGUCAAGAGGCCGCAGGUUCAAGUCCUGUUACUCCGACCA
rnacentral:tRNA from 1 species